rnacentral:sRNA from 1 species
ACACAUACAAAAAAUAUAUAAUAAUAAC